GCCUGCUUUGGCAGGACAUAUACUAAAAUUGGAAAGAUACAAAGAAGAUGAACAUCGCUCCUGUGUAAGGAUGACAUAUUAAGCACCAUGGAGUAUUUUGUAUUCUU